rnacentral:rRNA from 1 species
UACAGAGGUGGCAAGCGUUGUUCGGAAUUACUGGGCGUAAAGGGCGCGUAGGCGGCUUGGUCAGUCCCGUGUGAAAUCCCUCGGCUCAACUGAGGAACUGCACGGGAAACUGCCUGGCUUGAGUUCGGGAGAGGGAAGCGGAAUUCCGGGUGUAGCGGUGAAAUGCGUAGAUAUCCGGAGGAACACCGGUGGCGAAGGCGGCGUUCUGGACUGCUACUGACACUGAGGAACGAAAGCCAGGGGAGCAAACGGG